rnacentral:rRNA from 1 species
GAGAUUGAGGAGUGCUCGAAAGAGAAUCAGUACACAGGUGCUGCAUGGCUGUCGUCAGCUCGUGUCGUGAGAUGUUGGGUUAAGUCCCGCAACGAGCGCAACCCUUGUCAUUAGUUGCUACGAAAGGGCACUCUAAUGAGACUGCCGGUGACAAACCGGAGGAAGGUGGGGAUGACGUCAAGUCCUCAUGGCCCUUAUGGGUAGGGCUUCACACGUCAUACAAUGGUACAUACAGAGGGCCGCCAACCCGCGAGGGGGAGCUAAUCCCAGAAAGUGUAUCGUAGUCCGGAUUGUAGUCUGCAACUCGACUGCAUGAAGUUGGAAUCGCUAGUAAUCGCGGAUCAGCAUGUCGCGGUGAAUACGUUCCCGGGUCUU